rnacentral:rRNA from 1 species
AUACGUAGGGUGCGAGCGUUAAUCGGAAUUACUGGGCGUAAAGCGUGCGCAGGCGGUUCGCUAAGACAGGUGUGAAAUCCCCGGGCUUAACCUGGGAACUGCGCUUGUGACUGGCGGGCUAGAGUACGGCAGAGGGGGGUGGAAUUCCACGUGUAGCAGUGAAAUGCGUAGAUAUGUGGAGGAACACCGAUGGCGAAGGCAGCCCCCUGGGCCUGUACUGACGCUCAUGCACGAAAGCGUGGGGAGCAAACAGGAUUAGAUACCCUGGUAGUCCACGCCCUAAACGAUGUCAACUAGUCGUUCGGAGCGGUAACGCACUGAGUGACGCAGCUAACGCGUGAAGUUGACCGCCUGGGGAGUACGGCCGCAAGGUUAAA